GCCCUUUUAACUCAGGGGUAGAGG
rnacentral:tRNA from 1 species